AUGGCCAGCGCGGCCUCCGCGACCGGGCCAAAAGACGCCGCGGCCGCCGCGCGCUGCCGACCCGCCUGGCGCCGGAAGCGGCAAGUGUGUCCCCCGCAAAGGAGUCCGGGCGCGGCCGGAAGCGGAGAAGGGACCGGGCGGGCCAUGGCUAGAGCUGGGCCCGGGAGGGCCGGGAGCGCCCGCCGGGGCCUGGGACAGCGGCGGCUCCCGACGUGGGAGAUCUCGGAUUCGGACGCCGAAGGCCCGGCUGGCGCGGAGACCUCUGCGAGGGCCCGGGACCCGGCUGAAGAGCGCAGGCCGGCGGCCGAGGCGCUGCGGCGGCUGCGGCCCGGGCAGGCAGUGCGUCGCCUGGCGGUGCUCGUGGACCCAGCCGUCCUGGAAGACGCCAGUGCCGACACCCUGAUGGAGGCCCUGCACGCCCUGGGCUGUGAGCCCCGCGCGGAGCCGCAGCGCCCGGCGCGGAGCCUCCGCUGGAGCCGAGCGAGCCCAGACCCUUGCCCGCGCGGUGUGCCCCCUGAGGUGUGGGCUGAGGAUGAGCCCCACGUGCUGCUGCUGCUGGAGCCCGAAGAGUUUGUGCGAGGAGUCCUCCAGCUGACCCAGGUAUGUGGCCCGACCUGUUCUGUGCCCUGGGUCACACCUGAGAGCCCUGCCUGUCUCCACCUAGCUGUCAUUGGGCUGGAUGCUUACCUGUGGUCUCAGAAGCCCAGCGCCCAGGAGACACAGCAGCCAGAGCAUCCAGCGGUCACUCGCGCCGAGGCGGCGGUCGGCUGGCCUGAGGUGGAGGAGGUGAGGCAGUCAGGCCCUGGUGCGCCUGCAGCUCUGGGCGAACGUGGAUGUGCUGCUGGUGGCCUCCUGGCAGGAGCUGAGCCAACACGUGUGUGCCUUCACCAAGGCCCUCGCCCAGCGCCCCUUCAAGCAGGCCCGGGAGUCUGGGGCCUUCCCCUUCUGUACCUCUGGGCGCUGGGCAGCAGGCGAGCAAGUGGCCAGAGACGGCACGGGGCUGCGGUGGGCCUGGUGGCGGCAGGUCAGGCAGUUCAACCGCGUCAGCCCGGCUGUGGCCGACGCCAUUGUCAGCGCCUUCCCAUCCCCCCGCCUGCUGCAGCAGGCAUACGUGGCCUGUGGCACCGAGCAGGAGCGCCUGAGCCUGCUGGCCGACCUCCCGGUGAAGAUGGGCAAGGGUGCGCCGCCCCGCAGGGUGGGGCCCGACCUCUCCCGCCGCGUCUGCCUCUUCCUGACCACCACUGACCCCGACCUCCUGCUGGACCUGGGCUCCUGACCACGCUCGUGGGGCCGCACAGGGCCUCCCCCGCCUGCAGGCAGGUGGACAUCAGACUUAAGAGUUUAUUAUGGUCGCUUUCAGCCUCAGACAGGAGGAACAGAGCUGACAACAUGCAAAGCAAAUUAAGAAAAACCUGAGGCCGGUGGUGGCAGGAGAGCCAACCUCUCAAGGAGCAUCCUCCUUGCAGGCAGCAGCCCACAGCCCCACAGCCCCUCCCCUGCCAGCCCCCCAGACCUGAACCCAGAUGCGCUGGGGCAGCAGCUGUUCUCACGCCCAGCACUGGAGCAGACAGGCUGGGUCUUGGGGUCACAGGGUUGACAGCCCGGAGCCCCUGCAGCGAGGCCCGUCCCAGCCUCAGGCAGCAGAGGGGCAGCGGGACAAACCUCAGCUCGGUCCUCCCCUCGGCGGCCCUGGGGCAGUCCACAGGCAGGGGCAGGGACCCACUGUCCCAGCCCCAGGGGGGGGUCUUGAUGAGGGAGCAGGCUAGGUCCUUCGGCAGCGCUUCCGCUGGCAGCUCCGGGGCUCGGGGCCGUUGGCCGCGGGCGAGGGUGCCGGGGGCUGGCGGCUCAUGCUCAGGACCCAGCCCAGCUUGUGGUGCAGCACCUGCUUGAGGCCGGGCGGCAGGGGCAGGCCCUCGAGCGUGUCCCCUGAACCGGGCCGCAGCUGGCGCAGGCGGAAGCAGCACAGGUACUGCAGGGAGGUAACGCUGGCGCACGAGCGGAUCACCUUCAUGCUGCUCUUGGCCGCCGUGGAGCACACCAUUGGGUAGAACCUCUUGUUCUGCAGCUGCGUGGCCGCCACACCUGGGGCGGGGGGGAGGAACAGCCUCAGGGCACUCAGCCCCCCAGGGGCUCUGACCCUGCGCCCUGGGGCCACAGGAGGUCUCAGCCUCACCUAUGCACUUCCUGUUCUUGAAAAAGGUCAGCGUCCCGUGCCAGGUGUCCAGGUGCACGCCGAUGAUGGAGCCCUGGCCGAACCUCGAGGAGAAGCUCGUCUUGUCGCCCUUGUGAUGGAGGAGGCCUGGGGGCAGCGGGGUCAGGGUGAGCCCCGCGGCCUGGGGGCCCCCAGCCCCACCCUCCCGGGCCCCACGCACCCGUGUAGGAGAGGCCCCAGCUGUCCUCGUCCCGGCCGAGUAGGCUGCAAAACGUGUGGUGGUACUUGUCCAGGUCCACAUCCGACGUCCCGAUGCCCACCAUCUGGGAACAGGGGCGCGGGCAGAGGGGGCAGGGGACCGAGGCGCCUGGCAGCACCCCCGCCUCCCGGCCCCGCCGGCUACUCACCAUGUCGGUGCCAUAGACGGGCGACGUCAUCUUGAUCUCCCAGAAGUGCUGGCCCUCCCCCAGCUCCUUGGUGCCCCGGAUGGCCGCCGUGCCGCAGCUGUACUCCAUGUGGAAGCUGACCUUCCGGUUGUCACAGCUCAGCAGGGUGGCUGAGGACUUGUUCAGGUCAUCCCAGACCCAGUCGAAAUCUGCAAGAGUGAGAGGCCCCGGCUGAGCCCUGGCCCACCUGGAGGCCCUCCGCCCACCGUGGCCUGCACUCACGCUCAUCCUCCUCGCCGCAGCGGCAGUCCCGCCCCCGGUGGGCAGUGUGCAGGCUGCCGCAGAAGGCCUCGCUCUGGCUGUCACAGUCGCAGAAGGACUCCCCGGUCACAGGCACGGCGCUGGGGAUGGACGACGGCAGGGACGCACACUCGGGGUCGGAGUCUGAGUCGCUGUGCUGAGGGACAUGGGAGAUGUUGCCGCCCGACCUACCGGCACCGGCCCAGACACCCUCCAUCCACCUGCCCCGCUGCAGGUCUGUGGGUCAACAGCCGGACAUCCGGAGGAAGGGACCUGGGCCUUGGCCUCCAGAAGACCACCCCUGGCCCCGGGGCACAGCCAGCCACUGCAACCAUGGACACCUCUUCCGGCCUCCUCCUCAAAGGCCGACCACGAGGAAGCUUCCUGGGAAUGGAGUCAAGAGCCCUGGAGGCCCAGUGGCUCAUCAGCCCCUUGCAGGGCUGCACGCUCAGCCAUCCCUCAAGGUCAAGAGCUCCUAGGUCACGGAUACACAGGGGAGCCCAUGGCAAAGCCCACCACUGACCUAACGAAGGCAGCUUGGUCUCCCAGAGCAGCAGCUGGGCUCCUAGGGCCCGAUCGCCAUGGCAGGGCCUGCACACCCGGCCCAGAUUGCAGCUUCCCCGUCUGUGCCCAGGGCAGCUCAACCCCUGUCACAGGGCCCUGCUGAGGGAGCCCUGCAGUCGCAGGCCCUCUGCACGGGGGCUCAGUCCUCACAGGAAAGACUCCAAGCCUUAGGGGCCUGAUAUCAGCCCAGCACCAGACGCCAAGGCUGAGCUGGUCAGGUUCCGGAGACCAGCUGAUUAGACCCUCCUGAAAGCCAGCUAGAGUGCCUCCAAACACCCACCUGGGCUCCAGACCCUGGCCAGCCAGCGAGGGCCCAAGGCACAGACCGCUUCUGUGUGCCUGCGCUGAGCUCUCCCAGCUUGGCCUGGGCUCCUGGUCAGGCUCAGGCCUCCACCCUCACUCUCCUGGCCUCUGGGUGCCCCUCUGGCCCAAAAUGCCCUCUGCACAGCAGUCCAGUGGACCUGUUCAGACCUGAGAUUCUGCUGCCCUGAGAGCAAAGCCCACAGACUUAUCCUCCUCAGACAGCGUCAGCGCCCCACCUGGCCCCCUGUCCUGCCCACCCUUGUCCCCUUGGGGUGGGGGUGGGGUCUGUUCGCCCCUGGAUCUCUCUUGGAUACCAGUUCAAAGAGGCUCUGCCAGGCCUGGG